GACGAACGCUGGCGGCGUGCUUAACACAUGCAAGUCGAACGCUGAAGCUCAGCUUUUGUUGGGUGGAUGAGUGGCGAACGGGUGAGUAACACGUGAGUAACCUGCCUCCUUCUUUGGGAUAACGCCCGGAAACGGGUGCUAAUACUGGAUAUUCACUGGUCUUCGCAUGGGGGUUGGUGGAAAGGGUUUUUCUGGUGGGGGAUGGGCUCGCGGCCUAUCAGCUUGUUGGUGGGGUGAUGGCCUACCAAGGCUUUGACGGGUAGCCGGCCUGAGAGGGUGACCGGUCACAUUGGGACUGAGAUACGGCCCAGACUCCUACGGGAGGCAGCAGUGGGGAAUAUUGCACAAUGGGCGCAAGCCUGAUGCAGCGACGCCGCGUGAGGGAUGGAGGCCUUCGGGUUGAGAACCUCUUUCGCUCAUGGUCAAGCCGCAACAAUGGUUGUGGUGAGGGUGGUGGGUAAAGAAGCGCCGGCUAACUACGUG
rnacentral:rRNA from 1 species